rnacentral:rRNA from 1 species
AACGAACGCUGGCGGCAUGCCUAACACAUGCAAGUCGAACGAAGGCUUCGGCCUUAGUGGCGCACGGGUGAGUAACGCGUGGGAACCUGCCCUUUGGUACGGAAUAACAUCGGGAAACUGAUGCUAAUACCGUAUAUGGCUUUGGCUGAAAGAUUUAUCGCCGAAGGAGGGGCCCGCGUCUGAUUAGCUAGUUGGUGAGGUAAUGGCUCACCAAGGCGACGAUCAGUAGCUGGUCUGAGAGGAUGAUCAGCCACACUGGGACUGAGACACGGCCCAGACUCCUACGGGAGGCAGCAGUGGGGAAUAUUGGACGAUGGGGGCAACCCUGAUCCAGCAAUGCCGCGUGAGUGAUGAAGGCCUUCGGGUUGUAAAGCUCUUUUGGCAGGGACGAUGAUGACGGUACCUGCAGAAUAAGCCCCGGCUAACUUCGUGCCAGCCGCCGCUGUAAUAC